UUCAGGAGGAUUCUGACCUUUAACAGUUUGCUGGAUAAACAGUGUAUGGGUUAUGAGCCAUAGUUCUGCCCCAUGACCCUUGCGACUGAGAUCAGAACUCUACUCAGCGUUGCUACAGUAUGGGAUCAUCUCUUGGCUGCAGACGGGACCAUAGUGAGUUUGAGCCACCGCUGGAGUCGGACAGUGGCUCAGCGAUGCCUGAUAAAUCCUGAAGAACCUGCGUCUGGCUGCGUUUCAACAGGUGAGGCUGGCGUUUAGUGGUGUACUAUGGUAUGGGCAGAUGUAGAAAUGUGAUCUCCCUCUAAAAACGUGGAGGAGGAGUCAUUACAUGCCUGAGCAGCAUGAUCGCACAUAACAAAGAGUCAGAGAAGCGCUGAACGUCCACUGGUCGCUGUGGAUGUGGAUUUACUGGCACUCGCCUCAAUGCUUCUUCUUUUAAAAUAUAGGAAAGUGUCACGUUCCAGCACUCGGUGGGAACUGGACACAGGAAGCGGGAUGGGGAGCCGAUGACAACAUCUGGUUGUGAUUUCAGAGAGAUGGCAGUGAAGUAUGAAGAGUGAAGGAGGGACACACAGACCGCAGCUGCUGAAGGUUAAAGUGGAAGAGUUAGAAACAUGGAAAAUCUGCAGAGUUUUAUUCCUGUUAAGACCAAUAAAUAAAAAUGUAACACAG